rnacentral:misc_RNA from 1 species
UCACUACUUGCGUAGGCAGUCUGGCUAGAGUCCCCACCACUACGUGCUGGUAACUAACCACAAGGGGGGGCGUAUCUCUACGGCUUUCCGGUAUAUGUCAAACCCAGGUAAGGUUCUUCGCGUUGCAUCGAAUUAAUCCACAUGCUCCGCCGCUUGUGCGGGCCCCCGUCAAUUCCUUUGAGUUUUAGCCUUGCGGCCGUACUCCCCAGGCGGGGCGCUUAAUGCGUUAGCUGCGGCACAGAGACCGUGGAAUGGCCCCCACACCUAGCGCCCACCGUUUACGGCGUGGACUAC